AGCCCUGAGGUGUUUUACAUGUUGGAUUGCAAAUCCAAAGUAGUAAACUAGCGUUUACUGGGGCUU
rnacentral:tRNA from 1 species